CGCGAUGCAUCAAAAAAAAAUCCUCGCCCGCGAUCCCCAAUUCAAGAACAGGGCGACGGCUUAGUUCCGCACGACGGCGACGGCGGCACUCCCCUCGGUUCAGCAUGACGGCGGCGGCGCCGGUGUUCCCCUCGGCUGCGCGCGAAGGCGGCGGCGGCGCUCCCCUCGGCUGCGCGCGAAGGCGGCGGCGUCGCUCCCCUCGACUGUGCGCGAAGGCGGAGGCGGCGCUCCCCUCGGCUGCGCACGACGGCGGCGGCGGCGCUCCCCUCGGCUGCGCAUGACGGCGGCGGCGGCAGCUCUGGCAGAAGGGAUCCCUGACUUCUGAUGGGAGGGUCCGACAUACCUAGGAUGGUGGAUGGAGGGGCGAAGGUGGAGGAGGAGGACGAACCGUGGGCCAAAAUUACCUCCGUUGUGUACUUCAGAAAGCAUCAGGUAAAUCAUCUUCCCUUUUCUCAGAAAAAAUUGUAGGAUGUUAGGUUCAAUUGGAGUUGAACUCAGGAAGAUGAGCUGGACAAGGGUAAGAUGUGCAGGCACUUUGAGUCAGCAGCUAUGCGGGUAUGCAAAGGAGUGGACACUGGAAGGAGAUUUUUGUCAUGCCAAUAUGAGGAGACGUGUGGUUAUGUCAAAUGGAUUGACAAGCCAAGCCAUGGGAGGGGAGGUAAAGAACUGUCAUUGGUGAAGUUGCUAACAACAAAGAGGUGCUAGAGAAGAAGCUAAUGCAGAAAGAUGGUCAGAUAGAAACUGAGGAGAAGCACGGACUUGAGAAGAAGAAGAUUGAAAGGAUGCACAAAGAUCAGUUACAAUCUAGAGAUAGGACGAUUAUGUUUGUUGUGUUCAUGUACUUUGGGUUAGUCGUAAUCAUGUUUGAUGUGGUUGACAAGAAGUAAUGUUGUCAUUGUCCAGUCUAGAAGGUCAUGUAUGUUGCUGAAAAUUUGUAUUUUGCUGAAUAAUCUUUGGUGAAUUACAAAGAAUGUACCUUUUGGUAAAGAUUUUUUUUGUCAAUAUUUUACUGCUUUAGAAUUGAAA